UACGGAGGGAGCUAGCGUUGUUCGGAAUUACUGGGCGUAAAGCGCACGUAGGCGGAUUGUUUAGUCAGGGGUGAAAUCCCGAGGCUCAACCUCGGAACUGCCUUGAUACUGGCAAUCUCGAGUCCGGAAGAGGCGAGUGGAAUUCCUGGUGUAGCGGUGAAAUGCGCAAUAUCAGGAAGAACACCCGUGGCGAAGGCGGCUCUCUGGGACGGUACUGACGCUGAGACGCGAAAGCGUGGGGAGCGAACAGG
rnacentral:rRNA from 1 species